CUCAUGAUUAAUGUACAACAAUUUCAUUAAUUUAAAUAAUCUUAAAGUAGAUAAGAAAAACAGAAGGUAGAAGAUUUUACUGAUAAAGUUGCCAUGGCCAGGUGGAGUAUGGAUAAUGAAUUAUUAUGGCUACCAUAUUUUAUUGCUCCAAAUCCACUUGGAUUGGCUACACUAGCCUAGCCUGGCUGACGCGACUCACGAGUUAGGAGUCAACCAGACUAACAUUUGCAUUCCUGAGCCCACCAAGUCUGGCAUUAAAAUAAAUGUAAUUAUUUCAUACACUAAACUAGAUGUCUCAAUUGAAGUCUACAUAAUCAAAAUCACUGUCAAAUUGAAUUUCUGUAACUCCCCCAUACUUGAUACCAUAGACAGUAGCGAUUUUAGUAUGUAAACCUUGGUGGGGGGGUAGAAAGUGGGAUGCAUGCCAGCAAAGCCACUACACAACAGAACACAACACUAAACAAUACACGAAUUGCGCUAUAACGGUGCCAAACGGUGCCCACAAUCUGUUACGGCCUACAUACAGCUGUCCCAACACCUUACCACUGCUACACCUGGGGCCUGUUGCACAAAAGUAGAAUUAAGACAUCCGGGAUAAAUGACUCAGCUGAGCUCAAUGAAGCCAAAACAUGUGCGUCCAGGCUUAAUUGGUUACACAAAGACCAAGCCAGGAUGAGCAGACACGGAUUCAUUAAGCCAGGUGAAACCAAUCCUGGAUAGGUGCGCGCUCACGGCUCACUCAAAUAGACCCCGCCACAGAUCACAGAUUAAUUGAUUUACCAUGGCAACUAGAGCCGAGUACUUUUCCCCGUCGGAAGCACAAAUCCUCAUGGAGGCAUACGAGGAGGUAAAAGAUAUAAUUAAGAAGAAAGGCAACACCGCCACAGUGAUAAAGCAAAGAGAAAAAGCGUGGCAAAGUAUUGCAGACCGCCUGAAUGCGUAAGUAGUGCACAAUUACACAGUCACCGCUCCGCUGAAACAUCACAAUUACAAUUCAAAUAUUUAAUUCACAUCUCCAAAAAUGCAGUUGUACUGUAAUUAUGAAACGGUUAAAUUUUUAAUUGAAAUGCACUGCAGAUAUGAGUGAAAUUGUGUAAAGUAACUCCAUCACACUGUAUAAAGCUAUGAUAAAUUUUUUGAUAUUUUUACUGAAAACAAGACAAAAAUACCAAGUAAUUUUUUGCAGUGUGACUCCAUUAAAUGUGUGUGUGUGUGUGUGUGUGUGGAUUAAACAUGAACGGGCCAAAACGGACAUGGCAGCAGGUCAAAAUCAAAUACAAGAACAUUCUGCAGAAUGCAGUGAAAAAGAAUACCCACAGACAAGGCACGGGUGGUGGGUCACCAAAGGCUGACCUUACCCCAGCAGAGGACAUGGCCUUGGAGUUAAAUAAAGGCAGGCCCGUCUUAGAGGGGAUCCCUGGGGGGAAAGAGACGAGCAUAGGUUCCUCCCAAGAUGCCACCCGCUUCAUUCAAGUGUCUGGCAGCACUGUGUUCCUGUUAGAGCCACCAGCACAAGCACCAGACGAUGCUGAUCCAGGUGAAGGCCCCAGUGCAGCAGCAACAGCACAUGAUGGAGAUGAUGAUGAGGAGGAGACCAUCUCUCUGGAUUCCAGAAGGCAUGAGGACCCAGAUGCUAUACAGUGGGAAAACCAGCCUGGCAACAUAGUGCGUAUUAAUAAAAGGACACCACAUCCUGCCAAAUUCCAGCUGCGCUAAUUGUAUUGUGUUCACAGAGCUCACAAGCUAUCAGAAAGUUGUAUGGCAACCACCUCCGGCGCCAAAUAGAACUGGCAGACAUAGACAUUCAGUACAAGAAGAAAAAGAUGGAAAAUCUUGCACUGGAGUCCGAAAUAAAAGGGGACAAUUAGGAAACUGGACCUUGAAAUAAAAAAACUUGAGAGGGAGCUCCAAGAAGAUGACACAGCUCAAAAUAAAAAUUAGCAAUCAGUACAACCAAGUCAUCGUUAUAAGGCAUCGCCCUCUUUUGCCCACCCCCCCAGCACCAGGUGUGGCCACUAGCCUAUAUGAAGGCCCAAAAUUGUGUGUUCCUUUCUGCUCUGACAAUGGCAUGCCCAUUCGUGCGAGAUGUGGUGGAUGAAGAAGCACUUGUGCUGAGGAGAGCCUUCAGGUGAGAAAGGGUCUUCAGGGACCGGUUGGACCCACUGGCCUUCCCUGAUGACCAUCUAUAUGAAAGAUACAGGUUUUCUGCAGAUGGCAUCAGGUAUCUAUGCAGACUACUGGGUCCCAGGAUUAAGCACCGCACUGCACGGAGCCAUGCACUGAGUGUGGAGCAAAUGGUUUGUGUGGCCUUGCGCUUUUUUGCUAGUGGAGCCUUCCUGUACUCAGUGGGGGAUGCAGAACAGCUGAACAAGGCCACAAUUUGCCGCACAAUAAGGAGUGUGUGUCUGGCUAUCAAAGCAUUAGCAGAUGUCUUCAUCUCCUUCCCUGGCCACAGAAGACUCUGUGACAUCAAAGAGGAGUUCUAUAGGAUUGCAGAUGGUCUGCAAUGCUGACUGUGUGAUCAGCAAUGUUGUGGCAAAAUGGCCUGGCUCAGUCCAUGACUCCAGAAUCUUUCGGGCCUCUGAAAUCUAUCAGUGCCUAU